rnacentral:rRNA from 1 species
GAUGAACGCUGGCGGCGUGCCUAAUACAUGCAAGUCGAGCGAACAGACGAGGAGCUUGCUCCUCUGACGUUAGCGGCGGACGGGUGAGUAACACGUGGAUAACCUACCUAUAAGACUGGGAUAACUUCGGGAAACCGGAGCUAAUACCGGAUAAUAUAUUGAACCGCAGGGUUCAAUAGUGAAAGACGGGUUUGCUGUCACUUAUAGAUGGAUCCGCGCCGCAUUAGCUCGUUGGUAAGGUAACGGCCUACCAAGGCGACGAUGCGUAGCCGACCUGAGAGCGUGAUCGCCCACACUGGAGCUGAGACACCGUCCAUACUCCUACGGGAGGCAGCAGUAGGGAAUCUUCCGCAAUGGGCGAAAGCCUUACGGAGCAACGCCGCGUCAGUGAUGAAGGUCCUCGGAUCGUAAAGCUCUGUUAUUAGUGAAGAACAAAUGUGUAAGUAACUGUGCACGUCUUGACGGUACCUAAUCAGAAAGCCCCGGCUAACUACGUG